AUUGAACGCUGGCGGAAUGCUUUACACAUGCAAGUCGAACGGCAGCACGGACUUCGGUCUGGUGGCGAGUGGCGAACGGGUGAGUAAUGUAUCGGAACGUGCCCAGUCGUGGGGGAUAACGUAGUGAAAAUUACGCUAAUACCGCAUACGAUCUAGGGAUGAAAGCGGGGGAUCGCAAGACCUCGCGCGAUUGGACCGGCCGAUAUCAGAUUAGGUAGUUGGGGGGGUAAAGGUCCACCAAGCCAACGAACUGUAGCUGGUCUGAGAGGACGACCAGCCACACUGGAACUGAGACACGGUCCAGACUCCUACGGGAGGCAGCAGUGGGGAAUUUUGGACAAUGGGCGAAAGCCUGAUCCAGCCAUUCCGCGUGCAGGAUGAAGGCCCUCGGGUUGUAAACUGCUUUUGUACAGAACGAAAAGGUUUCUACUAAUACUAGGAGCUCAUGACGGUACUGUAAGAAUAAGCACCGGCUAACUACGUGCCAGCCGCCGCCGUAA
rnacentral:rRNA from 1 species